AAAAAUAGAGGCUCAAAAGCCAAAUCUAAUUUUCUUAAAAUAAAACUCAUAAGCCCAACUAAACCUAUAAGCCCAGAAGUUCAAAAGCCUAAAACCAGCCCACAUUAUUCGAAACCCUACCCGAUUGGGAUCCACGACCGACCCGGUUCUGACCCGGUUUGCAUCUUCUUCCCCGAGGUUUUUCGCGGCUUAGAGGGGGACGGCAGGGACGCCGGUGACUUGGCUGUGGCGGUGGCAACAGCAGCAGGGACGGCGACGGUGUCGCGGGUAGAGGCACAGCAGGGCUGCGUCGGGUCACGGCUGAGGAGCGGCAUCGGGCGGAGACGUCAGGCGUCGGGUCACGGCUGAGAGCGGCAUCGGGCGGAGACGUCAGGUCGUCGCGGCUGCAACAGGCGCCGGAGCGACGGCUUCUGGCGUUGAGGCGGGGCGCGUCGGUGGGGACGAGGGCGGCAGCUCGGACGCUCCUCGGAUGGGCAGCACAGAGGCAGCGAGCAGCGGAGUCGCGGGUGUUGCUGGCGGAACAACGACGCGGCGUCCGGCAACGGAAGCAGUAGACCGUCGGGGGCUCGGCUACUGCGAGUCGCGGGUAGAGCAGAUGCGGAGCGGGACCAGCAGAGGCGGUAUCGCGACUUCAGGGGCGCGAAGCAGUGGUGAGGUUCGAUGGCUCGGCUGCAGACGUUGAGUUGCAGGCGGUGGGUCGUUGCGGGCGGAGGCGCAGAGGCAGCGGCGUCUGGCUUCGAGGCGGGGCGCGGCGGUGAUGGCAGAUGCCUGGCGCUUCGGUAGCCACGGCGCGAAGGAUGGGCGUCGGGCAGGAGGGCGGCGGCCGAGACGACGUCGGAUUGAGGCGACGAGGCCUCCUCGCCCCUCGGCCGUCGUCCUCCUCUCCCCCUCGAGCUCUCUUUCUCU
rnacentral:lncRNA from 1 species